rnacentral:lncRNA from 1 species
GAACCGAGCAGACCAGCGGAGCCGAAGAAGUCGCACGCCUCCGCCGUUCACCGUCGCCGCCGCGCACCGCAGCCGAAGUCGCCGUCGCCACUCGUCGCAGCUCCGCCCGUCUCUGCCUCUUGCCGCCAUCGUCCCUGCUUCAGCCAAGUUCCAGCAGCCAUUUCAGAUCUGGUGGAGCUCCGCCGGAGCCGUCCAGCCCACCUCCGGCCACCGUGAGGCCCCGCCGUUGGCCGUGCAGCACCGCCGCAGCUCCUCCGCCCGUUUCCGACCUAAGCCGGCGCUGGAUCUGCUCCCUCUCGGCCCCAAGCAGAAUCUGGAAAAAUGGGUAUGGCAGCGGGUGUUUGGCCCGUUUUGGCCGCCUUCCCGAGCCCGGAUGCUCGGCCCGCUUUGAGGAAAGUCGAUCCUCGCGUCGCCCUCGUCGUUUUGGUCCGCUCGGCUCGUUAAUCUGGUGAGUUUAGCUCACUAAACCUCGCUUAGAGGGUUAAUUAUGCUUAGGGAGGUUUAGUUUAUGUUAAGCAUUAUUAGGUUGUUAGUUUAGGUUAAUUAAGAGUAGAUUUGAUUGAGGUUGUGGUUUAAUUUAAAGUGUGCUUAAUUAAGGGUAAGUAGGUUUAUUUAAAAUAAGCCUUGAUUUGACAUAAAUGAAUUUACUUUUGAUUUAUUUAAAUGUCUCGAAAUUAUUAUAUAAUUUAAUAAUAUAUUUUAUUCGAAAUUAAUAAAAUAUUAUUAUUUAAUUAUUUUCGGAAUAAAUUAAAUUAUUUGUUAAAUUCCGAAAAUUUUGUCGAGACCUUAAAUUCUCAGAAUUUCGUGCCGGUCGUUGCUGUGUAGUCGGAUUUUGAAAUUGAUGAUUGGAUAUUAUAAAUUGAGUGUGGAUUUCGAAAACUAUGGAUAUUAUUAUUUAAUUAAUUUUCGGAAUAAAUUUAAUUAUCUAUUAAAUUCCGAGAAUUUUCAUUGGGACCUUAUUUGCUCAGAAUUUCGUGCCGAUCGUUGUUAUGCUUGUAGAAUUUGAAAUUGAUGAUUGGUUGUGGCGAAUUGAAUGUGAUUUCGAUUUAUGAGGAUUCUUUAUAAAAUCCUAAGUGUAGAAAUUUAUGGGAGAUUGGCCGUGAUUGACCACCUAUUAGAGGUCGUGCCCGAUGAGGCCGUGAAAUACCACCUAUUAGAGGUCGUGCCCAGUGUGGCCGUGAUAAACCACCUAUGAGAGGUCGUGCCCAGUGAAGCCGUGAUAAACCACCUAUUAGAGGUCGUGCCCAGUGAGGCCGUGAUGAACCACCUAUGAGAGGUCGUGCCCAGUGAGGCCGUGAUGAACCACCUAUUAGAGGUCGUGCCCAGUGAGGCCGUGAUAUGCCACCUAUUAGAGGUCGCGCCCAGUGGGGCCGUGAUAUGCCACCUGAUAGAGGUCGCGCCCAGUGGGGCCGUGAUAUGCCACCUAUUAGAGGUCGCGCCCAGUGGGGCCGUGAAUUGCCACCUGAUAAAGGUCGCGCCGAGUGGGGCCGUGAUGCCACUUAUUCUAAUUUUGCCGAAUAGGGUCGUGAUUGAGAGCAAUGAUUGAUUUGCUAGAAUGACAUGUAAUCGGCCGAGUCGAUUGAUCACUGAGACGAUCCAAGUGGUUGAAUUGUUUGAUAAUGUGAUUGUGCCAUGGUUGUUUGGUUAUCAUAAUUGUACGUGGUUGAUUUAUAUAAAUUGUGCUAACCUGCAGAUGAAGGCUGAGGCGAGGUAAGUCCUCUGUGUGAUGUGGCUAGGCCACUCGGGGCGUAUUUUCUUUCUAAUAGGGGUUUAGGGGGUUGAACUUGCUGAGACAUCGUCUCAUCCCGGUUGUGGGAUUAAAAUUUCAGGUCCCCGAUGGAUGGAGUGGCCAGAUAGCUUUGGUUGGCCUUGAGGAGUUGCAGAGGUGAAGUCAUAAGGGUUGGAGAGCGUGUCCUGCUAGUUGGUUGUAGGAUAGUUCCCCUUUUGUCGAGCUGGUCUAUUUUGUAGAAAGUCCAGUGUUGUAUUUAAACCCUUUGUGUUUGUAAAUGAG